rnacentral:rRNA from 1 species
UACGAAGGGGGCUAGCGUUGCUCGGAAUCACUGGGCGUAAAGGGUGCGUAGGUGGCAAGGUAAGUUUGAUGUGAAAUCUCCGAGCUUAACUCGGAAACUGCAUUGAAUACUAUCUUGCUCGAGGGUUGGAGGGGGGACUGGAAUUCUCGGUGUAGCAGUGAAAUGCGUAGAUAUCGAGAGGAACACCAGUGGCGAAGGCGAGUCCCUGGACAACUCCUGACACUGAGGCACGAAAGCUAGGGGAGCAAACAGG